AAUUCUUGGUGUAGGGGUAAAAUCCGUAGAGAUCAAGAGGAAUACUCAUUGCGAAGGCGACCUGCUGGAACAUUACUGACGCUGAUGCACGAAAGCGUGGGGAGCAAACAGGAUUAGAUACCCUGGUAGUCCACGCCCUAAACGAUGGAUGCUAGUUGUUGCCUUGCUUGUCAGGGCAGUAAUGCAGCUAACGCAUUAAGCAUCCCGCCUGG
rnacentral:rRNA from 1 species